AGAAUCAACGCUGGCGGCGUGCCUCAGACAUGCAAGUCGAACGCGAAAGUCCCCUUCGGGGGACAAGUAGAGUGGCGCACGGGUGAGUAACACGUAGGUAAUCUACCUUUGGAUGGGGAAUAACAACCGGAAACGGUUGCUAAUACCGCAUAAUGCAGCGGCACCUAAUGGUGACAGUUGUUAAAGCGGGGGAUCGCAAGACCCCGCGUCUAAAGAGGAGCCUGCGCGGAUUAGCUAGUUGGUAAGGUAAUGGCUUACCAGGCUACGA
rnacentral:rRNA from 1 species